CAGGACGAACGCUGGCGGCGUGCCUAACACAUGCAAGUCGAGCGGGGAUAACAGCUUCGGUGUAUCUAGCGGCGGACGGGUGAGUAACGCGUGAACAAACUGUCCUGUACAGGGGGAUAACACUUGGAAACAGGUGCUAAUACCGCAUAAGACCACAGCUUCGCAUGGAGCAGGGGUCAAAGGAGCAAUCCGGUACAGGGUGUGUUCGCGUCCCAUUAGACAGUUGCGGGGUAACGGCCCACCAAGUCAGCGAUGGGUAGCCGACCUGAGAGGGUGAUCGGCCACACUGGGACUGAGACACGGCCCAGACUCCUACGGGAGGCAGCAGUGGGGAAUAUUUGGGGCAAUGGGCGGAAGCCUUACCCAGCAACGCCGCGUGAGGGAAGAAGGUUUUCGGAUUGUAAACCUCUGUCCUGGGGGACGAAGAAAGUGACGGUACCCCGGGAGGAAGCCCCGGCUAACUACGUGCCAGCCGCUGC
rnacentral:rRNA from 1 species